rnacentral:piRNA from 2 species
UUAAAGGCUUUGUCCACAGGGUGGUACUAC